rnacentral:rRNA from 1 species
UACGUAGGGGGCAAGCGUUGUCCGGAAUUAUUGGGCGUAAAGAGCGCGUAGGCGGUCCGGUAAGUCGGCUGUGAAAGUCAAGGGCUCAACCCUUGAAAGCCGGCCGAUACUGUCGGACUAGAGUCCGGAAGAGGCGAGUGGAAUUCCCGGUGUAGCGGUGAAAUGCGCAGAUAUCGGGAGGAACACCAAUGGCGAAGGCAGCUCGCUGGGACGGUACUGACGCUGAGGUGCGAAAGCGUGGGGAGCGAACAGG